rnacentral:rRNA from 1 species
UACACUCCUGCGGGAGGCAGCAGUGGGGAAUUUUGGACAAUGGGCGAAAGCCUGAUCCAGCCAUGCCGCGUGCAGGAUGAAGGCCUUCGGGUUGUAAACUGCUUUUGUACGGAACGAAACGGCCUUUUCUAAUAAAGAGGGCUAAUGACGGUACCGUAAGAAUAAGCACCGGCUAACUACGUGCCAGCAGCCGCGGUAAUACGUAGGGUGCAAGCGUUAAUCGGAAUUACUGGGCGUAAAGCGUGCGCAGGCGGUUAUGUAAGACAGUUGUGAAAUCCCCGGGCUCAACCUGGGAACUGCAUCUGUGACUGCAUAGCUAGAGUACGGUAGAGGGGGAUGGAAUUCCGCGUGUAGCAGUGAAAUGCGUAGAUAUGCGGAGGAACACCGAUGGCGAAGGCAAUCCCCUGGACCUGUACUGACGCUCAUGCACGAAAGCGUGGGGAGCAAACAGGAUUAGAUACCCGAGUAGUCCCAUGA